rnacentral:lncRNA from 1 species
CAGUAUCAAACUGAAUAACAGAAAACAAAAUUGAACAAAAUUUUGUUAAUAUCCGAGCGGAACAUAUGUCUUUGAAACUGAACUAAUAAUUGAAUAGAUGCCUGCGUUUUAAAAAUAAAAAUUAUACUUAAAAAAAUUAAUUAUAUUUAAUUUCAUUGCGGUUUUAGUUUAAUACUUUAUUAUAUUUUUAAAGUAUGUGUAAAUAAGCAUUGCUACUUAUUAUAUUGGUGCACUAGUUACUUAGCAUUACUCGUUAAUGUUAUAAAGAGACAUUAAGUCUAUAAAACUACUAUGUCUGUUUUAUAAAGAGUGUCAUUUUAGGUUUUUUUUUUGUUUUUUAAAGGUUUCAUUCUACAAUUUUAAGUUAACCUUUUACAUUAAAUCUAUAUUUUAUUCUUUGGAUAACCAAUACCUUUUUAUUUAAAUAUUAUUCAUUAAUUUAGUCAUAC